UUAUUACUUAUUGCCUACUACUUACUAUGACAAAAAGAAUAAUUAGAUACAGUUUCAACUAAUUUUGGUAAUAUUUUUGAAAAUGCGUUUAUUACAGUACUUUUUAAAAAUAAAGAUAAUAUAUAGUUUAGAUCAUGUAAAUAAUAAUUACAAUGGUUAAAUCAUACGACUAACUUUACUUUACAUAAGAAACCUUUAUGUUAGAAGAGGUUCAUCAAUAAUAAGAACACCUAUGGGGUUAAGCAGUGAUCACAGUAAAAGGGGUUGCAACCCUUUUAACCAGCUGCAUUAGUUCAUUCUAGGUACAAAAAAGGGUGCACAAAAUCAAAAUGGCUCCUAUGCAGUAAAAAAGGUCUUUGCCGGCAGGGCAUAUGUUAGCGAGUGCGCACUAUCAGACUGAAUCGCAUAUCAUUGGGGAGCAGAGACUUACAGUGUGCAGUAAAGAAAAAAAAGGGUAAACAGCCUUUUAUUUUUUAGCCAACCACAGUGCUUCAUGCAAAAGAGUCCAAAGGGUUCCUGCCGUCCGCUGUAGUCGUACAAUACCGAUAGUAACGCUACAGUUGUGUUCUUGUGUUCGAUAUACACACUUGUAUUGGUUUUGGUUUGUUAUUUUAUUUUUUUUUAUAAAACGUGUUUUUAAUUUAUAAAACUUUUACUCCAGUGUUUGUUAUAAGUGCAUAUAAUUUUUUUUUUUAAAUAGCCAGCAAAAAAGGAUUAAUUAUUAUGAAUAUGUUUAAAAGAAAUUGGACUGUAAUGGUCUCAAAUACAAUUGUUUUUCGUAAUUAGUACGAGUACAUUGCAGUGGACGGAUAUUUUCAUGAUAUAUAUUGGACAUGUUGCCUAUACAGAUCGCCGUCCAAUACACUUAUGAACGAGAUAAGGAGAAAACGGUCUCCCGCCCGGAAUCAUUUCGAGAAUAACAAUGAAGACGGUUUUAAUUCCAGCAUUGUACAGCGAGCCGAAGCUUUUAUUAACGUCCAAAGCUCUACGGGCUUUUAAUAUAUAUAUGUACGUGUAUAUGUAUGGGAUGGAUGAAAAGCCGAGGCAGCGGUCCCGGAAACAGAGAUGGAAAGAUGUACGGUUCUAGUUACAAUGAAUUUGCUGCAAGUAUCCUGUUUGAGCUGUGGAAGAAAUAACAAAAAUUAAUACAAACAGAUUUGAAUGCGGUUUAAUGUAUUAUGGUUUAUCGGAAACGUAAUACAUUAGAAAUCACAUUAAGAUUUUUUGGAUAUUCACACAUCACACUAUGAUCAACAUAUAUUAAGAUGGUGAUUGGUUGAACUGACUUUAUAGUCAUUUGUUCAACAAAUGAUUUUUUUGGACCAUUAACACUUAAUAAUUUGAGUCAUUUUUUUCAGCUCUUUUGUACAUUAUUCAGAACCCUUUGUUUCCUAUAUUACUAUGAUUUGAAGUUCAGCUACGAAGACGCACCUGUUCUAAACAAAAACGUACCUACAUCGUCUUAAAACAUAAGUUAAGUUAUGAGUAUAUACUUGAACAGGGUAUAGUUGUACAAUACUACUUACUGUUGUUAUCGCUAUUUUAAAAUAUACUGCUGAUUAGUUUUUUCAGGUAUAAAACAGCAGCUACACGCCUACACAUCAUACAAUCAAAGCGAAAACGAUGUCGUCAUGUUGAUAUAACUUUAAAAUUCAGUUAGUAAAUAGUUGUAAAUAGUUAUCACGGGCACCUAUAAUAGCGGAGUAAAAUUUGACUGUAUAUUUGUAUAACAGUAUGUUUUGUAAUUUUGUUGAUUAGUUAUUUUAUUAAGUUCGAUAUAAAAUUAACAUACCAUAUUAAAUAUUAUAAUGUAUACUGUAUUGGUAGAACAAAACGCGACAGAAAACAGAAUCCAUGUUUUUUGGUACACGUUUGCAACCGUUUUAGAACGUAUAAUAAUUCGGGCCGUAUAACAAUAAUAAUAAUAUUCACACAAAUACCAUAAUACAGUCGCAUACGAAUGGAAGAGAAUCGCGUGUAUAAUAAUACGAUGAUAUAAUAUUAUGCGGCGAUGGGGUUAGUCAGUUAGGUGUCGUAUGUGGUCGUGUGGGAGGAGAGCCACGUUGCAAAAACUUAAAAAUAAAAAAAAGUCGGCUAUGGUGGGCCAAUCGAAAAGCAAUCCCGUCUUCGGCGCAAAAGAAAACGUGUGUAUAUACAUUGGCUGUCGGGUGCUGUGGUAGUGGGUAGUGGAGGUUAUAUUGCCGUCCGAUAAAAAGGAAACUCCUCUUUAUUCCUGGGCGGGGUGGAAAGUGGAAAAAAAACUAAAAACGAAAAAAGGAAAAAGAAAGUAUGGGCGGGAGGGCGUUAGGUGGGGAGAAAAUAGAAAGAAUAUAAGGAAAGGAUAAAGGACCGUUUUCCAUCCCGAGAUUUCGUCCCGGACGCAAAAUAAUGUAUACGACCACCACCACCACCACCACCACCACCACUACCACUACUACCACAUCGUAUAUAAUAUAUAUAUAUAUACACACGGGCGCGGAUUGUAAAUGCGCGAGCUUUACACAUGAUUGCGUCCGAACGGUUACCAACAGCAACGGUCCCCACGCCGCAGCAUCCGAUAUCGUCUCCCUGCCGAUAUAUCUCUCCCCCGCCCAUCACUAGCGUGUACCGCCGCCGCCGCCGUGGGAUUUUAAUACAACCGACUUUCAUUGCGGUAAAAAUAAUGCUACCCUCCCCGGCACCAGCCGAAGGGCGGGCGGGCGGUCGCGUGCAAGCGCAGUCCACCGCUCUCCACCGCGCGCGGUCCGGAUCGCACCACCCCGCCGAUGCGCCUCCCCUCUGUCACAAGCGCGUCUUCCACUCCCAAAAGCGACCCGAAAAGCACCCUUUUUCGCGAAAUCGUAGGCAAUAAUCAAUAAUUAUACAUACAUACACACACACACACACACAAACAUAUAUAUACGUACGAGCCGACACACACAAACACACACACACACUGCAAACGACGGUACACACACGGUGUGUAUAUAUAUAAUAUGAAUGUGUAGGGCCCUCGUUUCGAAUUCACCACCACUCUCCUCCUGCCGACGUCUCGAAGGAUUCGGCCGACGAUUAGCCAGCCGGCAACGGACUCAGUGGUGCACGUCGUGUGUAUAUAUAUACCUACAUAUUAUAUGUAUAUACGGUGUGCUUGCAGCGGUGACGUGCGUGCGCGCGCGCGCUUACACGCACGUAGGGUGUACGACCUUUGCCCGUUUUCCUCGGUAAAUGUCUGUAAGUCCUUUACUCGGCACCCCACCCCAAAGGGGUACGAGUGAACGACCGAGAUGGAGAGAGAAAUACUAAAUAUAAGUAUAUAUUACACUGGACAUUUAUGCAUGAUACACGUAAUAUAUUAUGCAUGGACCUUAUAUGCGGCUUAUGUUAUAUAAAUAUAUAUAUAUAUAUGCAAGAUGUGUAUAUAGCUUGAAUUGUGAUAAAUACCCAACUAGGUUUAUCGUUACAAUAAUGUUUGCCAGUGUGGCGCUGCAGCGACCUAAUUUUUGAAUUUAUGUAGGUAUAGGCGCACAAUUUGUUGAAGACCCGCAGUAUAAUCUCAUUUUCACUUCACUAAGUACAAUCUCAUUAUGUAUUUAUGUCGUACCGAGUACAUUGUUUCACCGCGUCAUCGACUACACAUAACUUUUAACACAUCACCGUCCACCGCGGUUCCCGAAAAACGUCUCAUCGUAUGGCCACCGAUUGAAAUUUAGAACCGAUUGAACAUUAACCAUAUAUACGUCUAUUAUAUAAUACGUUCUAUGGACCGUAUUUGUUGAGCGUCCAUAAUGUUCGUCGAGUCAAUCUAUUAAAAGAAAAAUUAACACUCUUUAUAUAUAUAUAUAUAUAGGUGUAACAACUCUAAAGGUCGAAGUAAGUCUAGAUUGGUGUUCGAUGUAAAAGUUUCGAUCAAUUAUUUGUAUGCGUCUAUUCUUUAAGCGUAUAGAAAUUAUACUCGUAGUUCAGAUUUUAUACUUUUCGACUCACGAUCAAUUUAUUUUAAUACUGAUUUAAGCAAAACCAUAUAUUAGACGUAUACGUGCCGAGAUACGGUGUACCGGUGAUUGGCAUAAUUAGCGAAAUGAUCGUAACACAGUCUCUGUUCGGGGUUUUCAACAAAACGAUUUAGUUUUAUAGCCCUUAUACGACGUUUGCCGUCGAUAUACGUGUCUAGACUUUGGUUUCGCACGAAGCGUGGGGAAAGUCGCGGGACGUUUAGAACAAGAGACACCUUAUCAAUUAAAAUAUCGUUUCCGUAUCCCCACCGGAGUUUUUGUGGACAAUUAAAUAGCAUCCGAGGUAUGAAGAGACCAGAAAUAAGUAUAUCAACUAACCCAACGCGGGCGCCAAAUCGUCAAACCAGAAAAUCGAAAAGAGUUGAAUAAAAAUAACGCGAUCGUUUCGCCGUCGAAUCCGUCGCGUUUAGAUGACUGUAUAUCGGAAUAGUUCGGUGCCGUUUCAUUAAAACACGAUGAGGCGUAAAAUAAUGUCAAAAAUAAAAACAAAAAAAAAUUCACAAAACAAUGUGUCUCAUGGAGAGCUGUAAUUCCGCCUACCUGUAAUGGAAUAAUAUAUACAUAUUGCUCGUUUCGGUCGGUGAGCAAAGUGUGUGAGAACAGCAAAUCAGCGGUGCGGAGCUGCACUAUACGCGCCGCCGCCAACACGAACAAUUUCAAUAAAAUAUAUAAUAACAAUGAUUUAAUUACGAUUGUAUCGCAGUAAUAAUCCCCACUGGAAGGCAAAAUGAUGGGCGAUUUACCGGUGGUCGAUGAGUAUAAUUUCAUAUAAAUACGUGCAUGGUGAUUCAUUUAAAACAGAGCAUAUUGCUAUCUUGGUCGAUAGCAUUUACGUAAUUUAAAGUAGGUAAUACACACUAUAUAACAUUAUGUCUUCAUACAAAUUCUUUAUCGUGUUGACUCUUUUUUAGAGUUUUCAAUAUUUAUAUUUAUGAUGCAUUUAAGUAUUUUUUUCAUGAAAACAUAUAAUAUUAUGUUAAAUGUUCAUAGGGUAUAUUUUUAAAUUUAAUCCGAUGUAUUCAGUAGUUGAUAUGUUAAGUUAACAUCAGCGAGUUGCGCAAAAUGCAUACCUAUUACACGUGGAAACGUGGAAUCGAAAAUAAUCACUAGGCACGAUGAAAAUUAGCAAAAAGUCAUAUCUUUUAUAGUCGAUCUGUAUAGUGUCAUAUUAUAUAAAAUAAUAUUUUUUCUCUAUCAAAAUGUCGAAAGUUGAUAGAAACGAUGGCGGCGAUGUUUUGCGCUGAACGAAUCGCCUUGUAUACGGUGGAAAGGUGUGAGUACAAUGUACAUCCUAGACUUCCGCUCAUACGCACACAUCAUUAUUGAACUACCUACGUUUUAUUAGACAAACGCGAGAGAGAAACGUCAUAAUCCGUACCUAUCCGUUCUGUUAAUUAUUUAACCUAUAAAUAAUUGCCUCACACGCUAAAUGGGAUACAUAUUACAUUUUAAGUCAUAUAACAAAUUAACUACACAAAUGUAACCUAUAUAUUUUUAUUAUUGUAUAGUAAGUAUUGAGACAAGAAUUGUCUUUGUCGUCCGUCCUAACUUUUGAAACGAAUUUAUUCUACAUAUUAUAAUAUUAUAGAGUAGGUAGUAGGAAGUAUUGUCGUGCAACAAGGUUGUAGAAAAAUAAAUGAUAAAUUAUUUGAAGCCAGUGAAUAUAAGAAUAAAGUAUAUUUGUUUAUCGUGCCUAAAUCUCAACGUUAUCGAAAUAUAAUUAUACGUGCAAUUUGUUGCUGUAAAUUGUAACUAAUUAUAAUUUAAUUAAAUUAUAUUGUAAAGUCACAAACUCAAAACAUACACCAAGAUUCAACGAGGCAGCUCACCAUAAUAAUUUAUUGUUCGUUCUUUAAAAUAAAUUUAUUCAAUUUAUGAUUUUUGAAGCUUUUUAGUAUGUACAUCAUUCAUAUACUUAACCAUAUUUUCAAAUACUUAAUUAAUAUACCAUUUAUAGGUUAAGAUUAUUCUGUGGUGAUACAAAUAUCCAAGUUUUUUUUCAUUAUUAAAGGAUUAAAUGGGAGGGGGGGGGGGGUUGAGCUUGCUAGGUGAAUCGUGGUGUACGUCGCUUAUGUAUCACAAAUGAUAGGAUUUAAGAAUCAAACAUAUCAACGUUAUUAUAGUCAUUGAUUGGAAGUAACUAUCUACGACAUUUGUAGCAACGCAAAGAGCGAUAUAAAUAGUGUGUAGUUAUUGAUUUCGUAAUAAACGUUUAUAUAUACCUAUAGGUAUUAAAAUAUCGUCCAUUGUAACAGUCUUACAUUUAGCUAUACUAUUGCAAUGCUACUUUUUUUCUCAAGCGUCUACAGUUUCUAAUUGAUAAGAUGUUUCUAUUUUAUACUGAACAAAAAUAAAUAAGACUAACUUCAAAUAAUCUAAAAAACGGUUUUGCAUCAUAAGCCAUAACGAAAUGCCGAAAUGACAUCGCGGACAUAACAUGCAGAACCUACGCACGACUGGUAAAAUAUGAAAAUAUAUUAGGUACGUUAGGCAUAUACAUUAUGGUUUUUUCUUGAGAUUUCUUUUUCCAAUUGGGGAGUGUGGACUGUGGACUAAAGAUACUAUAUUUCUAAAUAAAAAAUAAAAAAAGUAGCGUAUUAAAAAUAAUUAUGAAGCGCCCUCUACAUUUGCAUUAAAAUAGCGAUAUGGAUGAAGUGUACCUAUUUUUUUUUUUUUUAUUACGUUUGGUGAUAUCGCACUUUAAUGUUAAUAUCACGUGUUGUGACGUGACUUACAACCACCGAAUUAAUGCCUAUUACAGCCGUUACAGCGAAUGACAACCGAAAAUCGUCAUAGUUAUGCGUUUGAAAUCAUAAAACCUUAGUUUAUUUUUAGUGCGGUACGAAAACGCGGAAAACAGUCUUGCGGUUUUCGUGAUAAAAAAUAAAUAAAACUAUCUCCAUUGACGAAACGCAAUUUGAUUUCUAUAAAAUUCGCCCCGCACGCUGCACAUGCGCUGGCCGCGUCGGCUGACAGAUAAAAAUACGUCUUCGCGUCGACUUUAUGGUUCUCAGAUAACGAAAUAUAAUAAUACAUAAAUGUACCCGAACUUUAGUGGCACUUAUGUGACAUAACUCGUAUGCUUUCUCAUAACGGGAGGGUCUUAAAGCUUUUUUAAUAACUUAACGAGACACGGAAUACGACGUUUUGUCAAAAAAAAAAAAAAAGAAACAAAAGCCACUGGAUGUAUGGUUUUUAUUUUUUAUUAUUUGAUUGCCGGUCGAGACGAUAAAAUUCGCUCGGCUCUCCCCGGACCUCCGGAUUUGGUGCUAUUAACAAAAUCCAAAUAAAUAUUAAAUUUUAUUCGUUAAACUUCGAAAAAUUCUAGUCGGAGUUUUUUUAUUUUCAUUUUCAUUUUCAUUUUGUUUUUUAAUGAAAUUUAUGCCUUUUAUAUUUUCCGUUUCCAUGUUAUAGUUUGAAAAAUGUCAACAUAAUUUCACUAUAAAACCACAAGCACGCUAAGGUAUAAAAAUGUUUAAUGCAUGAUCGUAAUAUAAUAGGCGAGUGCAGACAUUGUUGGCAGACUGUAGUCACAUGUUUAAUUAUUUAUUUAUGAUUUAUACACAAGUUUUAUCUCAACAACAGUUUUCCUAUUCCAACCCCUUGUCAUUAGUAAAGUCAGCUUGAGUAAUUCUUAAAUUAUAUUAUCUUAAAAAAAAAUUAUAUAUAUAUGCACAUAAAUAAAUAAUUGUUAUUAAAAUAUUAUAAUUUACGUAAAAUUAAUUGAUAA